AACGCGAAGAACCUUACCAAGGCUUGACAUCCCAGGAAUCCGCUAGAAACAGUGGAGUGCCUUCGGGAACCUGGUGACAGGUGCUGCAUGGCCGUCGUCAGCUCGUGUCGUGAGAUGUUGGGUUAAGUCCCGCAACGAGCGCAACCCUUGUCGUAUGUUGUAUUUCUCAUACGAGACUGCCCGGGCCAACCGGGAGGAAGGUGAGGAUGACGUCAGGUCAGCAUGGCCCUUACGCCUUGGGCUACACACGUCAUACAAUGGCCGGUACAACGCGUUGCCAACCCGCGAGGGGGAGCUAAUCGCACCAAAACCGGUCCCAGUUCGGAUUGGAGGCUGCAACUCGCCUCCAUGAAGUCGGAAUCGCUAGUAACCGUGGGUCAGCAUACCGCGGUGAAUACGUUCCCGGGCCUUGUA
rnacentral:rRNA from 1 species